CUGACAAUGAUAAUAUACAUCACGUUGUAAACCGCUGCGAAAUUUAUCAGUUUUUAAAUGAUAAAAACACAGUUUAAAAUUAUUUUGUUAGUUCCUCCACAUUGUUAUAGUGGAAACACCAUGUAAACCUCGCAAACCUGACGGGAAAAUUCACGUGCGCAAUUUUAGAUUGUCCCCAGCGGUUGGGAUUUCCUUUUCAAAAAGAUUGUUAUAGGAAGUACACAUUGGAUAAAUGCUGCUCUGAUGGACAAAUAUGCCCUCAAGACCAGCCUGGCAAAUGCGAAGUUGACG